UUACAGUUUUUACAGUGUUGAAGGACCUCCUUCCUGACAGCCAAGUGAGCUGCUCUUCCACUGUGCACCCUGACCUCCAAGCCAGAGAAGAGACCCCUCUCAUGUCAGAUACAUUCACAGCAUAAACACAAGGCAACAAACAAAGUACAAACAGACCCUGUCCCUUCGCAGUGUGACAGCUCAUGUGAACACCUAAGGAACUCCAAUAUCUGGCUCAGAAGGAAUUCCAGAGAGCAGCAGAGAACACAGAGGGAAGGAAAAACCAGGAAUAAUGCAAGCAUCCAGGACAGAAAGAGAGAUGCAUCUCCAGACGACUGGCCACUCAAGAAGUCCCUGGUACAACGAAAUUUUUUUUGAAAGUCCGAAGCAAAGCUGUUAUCUGUUAUUAUAUAGCUCUUUAUCAUCAUAAAGUUCUAAGACUCCAAAGAUAAAGGAAACUUCCUUGCAGGGUAGGGAGAUGGGUGUUGCAUUCCCAAGGGAUAAAAAUCAAAUGAACUCAGACCUUUCAACAGCACCACAGGGGCAAGAGUCACAAGGCAUGGCGUCCUCAAAGCUGUGAAAGAGCCACACAGAACUCCACACAGCCCAACUAUAGACAGGCACAAAUGCGAGGGCCAAUGGUACAUGGGGUGUGGGUGCUGGAAAAUACAAUUCCCAAGGACUUUUUAAAGGGAACUCCUGGAACAUAAGCUCUCACCUAGAGCAGAAGAAACAAAUUCAAGCAACAGAAAAGCACAGGACAGGUGGGAGAGGACACAGACUUGGGGAUACUUCUGGGCAGGUCUUCAGCAGGAGGGGGGUGGGACAGAGAACAUCCUAGAGGGUGAAGCCCACCCUGCUCCUGCUCCUGUACCACUGAGACGGAGACCAAGUCAAGCUGCACAGUCCUGGGAAGCUUCAGGACAGCAAAAUGACAUGGCAAGGACAAGCAAACACCCACUAACAUGGGACCAGUUUAAAACCUCACAGCACUUACACACAGCGGGACGGAAUAGCCCUGCAAAAUGCCAUGGAGACUAUCUCUACGCAUCUCUAUGGAGCUCACCAGGAGCUAACAGAAAAACAAAAGAAGGCAAUCAGUAAGCUACCUGCCACUCAGCUAAAGCAGGCCAGCAGGAAUGCAUGCACACAAGAAGGCACUUGUGUGCAUGCCUGUCAUGUUUUAAGUGGAAUGGGGAGGACGUGGGACUCAGAGCUGGGCUUCUCCAAUUCUGCCUUGUCCUGCAUAGCUAGUCUUGGAACUCUGUAAAUGUUGUUCAUAAUUAUUUCCUGAAAAAAAUCAAAAUCCAUUUAUCUCUAAAAUUCAAAAGCAAAAUGAAACAAACCUAAAUUUUCCUCAAAUUGGUGGUGUAAUCAGACAAAAAGGUAUUAUUUCAAAUGACUUAAAGCACAAUUUUAUCUUACAUCCUAGAGAAAUCCACCCUAAGAAUAAAAAGAAUUGAGAUUACACAAUGUAUUCUUGUACCAAAACAUCACACUGUAACCCCUCAAAAUAUACAAUUUUUGUGUGCCAAAUAAAUAUUUUUUGUAAAGACUGACAGAAAUGCUUUUAAUUCUAAAACUAUUUUUAGUAAUUACUUGAUCAUAAUAUCAUUAAUAAUGUAUCAGAAUUAUUAGGAACCAGGAUUAUCGGCAUAUGAUACAAACACGAAAUCAAAGUUCAGUAACAUCCUUUGCUCCUCACUUUGUGAAGUACCAGCAUGAAAUGCCAAGGUUUGCUCUUCAAAGAAUAACCACACAGUUCUGGCUGUCCACAGAAAGCCUGGGAACCUGGCCAUGAACGUGGGUGCAGUCUUUAAACUCAGCCUCCCAGGGGGAGCCAGGCAGGGCCAGCAGCUGGAUCACCUAUCACCACGUGGCCAGCAAGCUCUGACCAGGGUCUGAACCCAGCAGUUCCCAGGUCCAGAUCCAGUGUGUAACUAAUUCAGGGAGCUAGGAGGGCUUUCAGGCAACUGCCUGGCAGGAAGUGAGGGGGCAAGAAGGAAACAAGGCAAGUACUUCCUGAGACAAAAGCAGGAUGCAUGGGAAACCAGGAUGGGCCCCAUAAAGGCAAGCAGUGCCUCCUGUCCAGGGCGACUGCUUGCAGCAGCUGUUUCUACCUCAUGUGUUUUGCUUCCUGUAAUAAGCUUUAUUUUACUUUA